GAUGAACGCUGGCGGCGUGCCUAAUACAUGCAAGUCGAGCGAACAGAUGAGGAGCUUGCUCCUCUGACGUUAGCGGCGGACGGGUGAGUAACACGUGGAUAACCUACCUAUAAGACUGGGAUAACUUCGGGAAACCGGAGCUAAUACCGGAUAAUAUAUUGAACCGCAUGGUUCAAUAGUGAAAGACGGUUUUGCUGUCACUUAUAGAUGGAUCCGCGCCGCAUUAGCUAGUUGGUAAGGUAACGGCUUACCAAGGCAACGAUGCGUAGCCGACCUGAGAGGGGGAUCGGCCACACUGGAACGGAGACACGGUCCAGACUCCUACGGGAGGCAGCAGUAGGGAAUCUUCCGCAAUGGGCGAAAGCAUGACGGAGCAACGGCGCGUGAGUGAUGAAGGUCUUCGGAUCGUAAAACUCUGUUAUUAGGGAUGAACAAAUGUGUAAGUAACUAUGCACGUCUUGACGGUAACUAAUAAGAAAGCAACGGCUAACUACGUG
rnacentral:rRNA from 1 species